AAGCAUGCAAGUCGAACGGUAUGCAUGGUGCUUGCACUGUGCUGAGAGUGGCGAACUGGUGAGUAACACGUAGGUGAUCUACCUUGAGGCCUGGGAUAGCCUGUGGAAACACAGGGUAAGACCGGAUGAGCCCCUGUACUUGCGGGUAGAGGGGGAAAGGUGCUAUGGCACCGCCUUAAGAUGAGCCUGCGUCCCAUUAGUUAGUUGGUGGGGUAAAGGCCUACCAAGGCGACGAUGGGUAGCCGGCCUGAGAGGGUGAUCGGCCACACUGGGACUGAGACACGGCCCAGACUCCUACGGGAGGCAGCAGCUAAGAAUCUUCCGCAAUGGACGAAAGUCUGACGGAGCGACGCCGCGUGAACGAAGAAGGCCGGAAGGUUGUAAAGUUCUUUUGCGGGUGAAGAAUAAGGCGAGGAGGGAAUGCCUCGCUGAUGACGUUAGCCUGUGAAUAAGCCCCGGCUAAUUACGUGCCAGCAGCCGCGGUAACACGUAAGGGGCGAGCGUUGUUCGGAAUUAUUGGGCGUAAAGGGCGUGUAGGCUGUUUUGUAAGCCUGGUGUGAAAGUGCACGGCUUAACUGUGUAUGUGCGCUGGGAACUGCAAGACUAGAGUCCGGAAGGGGGAGGUAGAAUUCCUGGUGUAGGGGUGAAAUCUGUAGAUAUCAGGAAGAAUACCGGUGGCGAAGGCGACCUCCUGGUCCUGGACUGACGCUGAGGCGCGAAAGCGUGGGGAGCGAACAGGAUUAGAUACCCUGGUAGUCCACGCUGUAAACGAUGUGCACUAGGUGUUGGGGCAAGAGCUUCAGUGCCGAAGCGAACGCGAUAAGUGCACCGCCUGGGGAGUAUGCUCGCAAGGGUGAAACUCAAAGGAAUUGACGGGGGCCCGCACAAGCGGUGGAGCACGUGGUUUAAUUCGAUGAUACGCGAGGAACCUUACCAGGGCUUGACAUAUACCGGGAGCCGUGAGAGAUCACGGUGCCCCUUUGGGGCCGGUAUACAGGUGCUGCAUGGCUGUCGUCAGCUCGUGCUGUGAAGUGUUGGGUUAAGUCCCGCAACGAGCGCAACCCCUACUGUCUGUUGCCAACAGGUGAAGCUGGGGACUCAGGCGGAACUGCCGGUGACAAACCGGAGGAAGGUGGGGACGACGUCAAGUCAUCAUGGCACUUAUGUCCUGGGCUACACACGUGC
rnacentral:rRNA from 1 species